UACGUAGGGUGCGAGCGUUAAUCGGAAUUACUGGGCGUAAAGCGUGCGCAGGCGGUGAUGUAAGACCGAUGUGAAAUCCCCGGGCUUAACCUGGGAACUGCAUUGGUGACUGCAUUGCUGGAGUGUGGCAGAGGGGGGUGGAAUUCCGCGUGUAGCAGUGAAAUGCGUAGAGAUGCGGAGGAACACCGAUGGCGAAGGCAGCCCCCUGGGCUAACACUGACGCCUCAGGCACGAAAGCGUGGGGAGCAAACAGG
rnacentral:rRNA from 1 species